rnacentral:rRNA from 1 species
AGAUGCAAUCAUACCAGGGCUACUACACUAGAUCCCAUUAGAACUCUGUAGUUAAGCGCCCAUGAGCCGGAGUAGUAAUGGGAUGGGUGAUCUCCCGCGAAGUCCCGGUGUCGCAUCCA